GUGCUCAUAUUAGCAGCACCUAUGGUAAAGUUGGGAGAGUGCAGAGAGGUUAGCAUAACCCCUGUACAAGGCUGAUACACAGAUUUGUGAAGUAGUUGAUGUUUUU
ensembl:snRNA U6 U6 spliceosomal RNA